CGUGAAGGCGAGCACUCUAGACGAACUGCCGUUGACAAAACGGAGGAAGGUGGGAUGACGUCAAAUCAUCAUGCCCCUUAUGUUCUGGGCUACACACGUGCUACAAUGGCCGGUACAGACGGACGCAAAGCCGCGAGGUGGAGCAAAUCCUAAAAAGCCGGUCUCAGUUCGGAUUGCAGGCUGCAAUUCGCCUGCAUGAAGUCGGAAUCGCUAGUAAUCGCAGGUCAGCAUACUGCGGUGAAUACGCUCCCGGGCCUU
rnacentral:rRNA from 1 species